UACCAGCACCCCGAGUGGUCGGGACGUUUUAUUGGGCCUAAAGCAUCCGUAGCCGGUUCUACAAGUCUUCCGUUAAAUCCACCUGCUUAACAGAUGGGCUGCGGAAGAUACUAUAGAGCUAGGAGGCGGGAGAGGCAAGCGGUACUCGAUGGGUAGGGGUAAAAUCCGUUGAUCCAUUGAAGACCACCAGUGGCGAAGGCGGCUUGCCAGAACGCGCUCGACGGUGAGGGAUGAAAGCCGGGGGGAGCAAACCGG
rnacentral:rRNA from 1 species